rnacentral:rRNA from 1 species
GACGAACGCUGGCGGCGUGCUUAACACAUGCAAGUCGAGCGGUAAGGCCCUUUCGGGGGUACACGAGCGGCGAACGGGUGAGUAACACGUGGGUGACCUGCCCUUAGCUCUGGGAUAAGCCUGGGAAACUGGGUCUAAUACCGGAUAUGACUCCAUGACGCAUGUUGUGGGGUGGAAAGCCUUGUGCGGCUAGGGAUGGGCCUGCGGCCUAUCAGCUUGUUGGUGGGGUGANGGCCUACCAAGGCGACGACGGGUAGCCGGCCUGAGAGGGCGACCGGCCACACUGGGAACUGAGACACGGCCCAGACUCCUACGGGAGGCAGCAGUGGGGAAUCUUGCGCAAUGGGCGAAAGCCUGACGCAGCGACGCCGCGUGGGGAUGAC